rnacentral:lncRNA from 1 species
CCAAAACAAGCUGUCCAAUUCCCUGAGGCAAUGGCCAAGGCUUGGAAACCAUGAGUAUACACAUGCCUAAUUCUCAAGGGGAAAAAGCAUGCUUAAACCUUUAAAGUACUUACUUGUAUUCAGGUCUUCAAAGUUGUUGUUUGGCUUUAUAGUAAACAGGAUAAAACUGUCUGGAGAAAUGUGAACAUUUAGAGAAGGAGAUAUGCGUGUAUAUGCUUUAAUGAAGGUGGCAACUUUAUUCUUUGAAGUAUCCAGAGAAUUAUGAAAGAAGACUUAGAUAAUCACAAGGCAACUUCUCCAGAAAUGAGUGCUCAUCAGUGAAAACCAUAGUGUACCUCUGUGUAUGGUUCCUUGAUCCUGGUGGGAGAAACUGCGAUUCAUUAUGACUGUGUAAACACUGGUGCAGAGGAAGGAGACUUGAUCUAGGGAUUGGAGUUGUCAAAUGUUCCAGUGACCUUCUGUGUGACCUUCAGCAAGUUGUUUUUACUCUCUGAACCUCUGUUUCCUUAUCUACGAUUUUUCUGUAAUUCAGUGAUUUAUAUACAUUGCCUGGAAGAGGGACCGGCACAUGAGAGUCAUCCAGGCUGGAGUGCCGUGGCGCGAUCUCGGCUCACUGCAACCUUCACCUCCCGGUGCAAGCAAUUCUUCAGCCUCAACCUCUCAGUAGCUGGAAUUACAGGCAUACACCACUAUGCCCUGCUAACUUUUGUAUUUUUAGUAGAGACAGGGUUUCACCAUGUUGGCCAGGCUGGUCUCGGACUCCUAGCCUCAAGUGAUCCACCUGCCUCAGCCUCCCAAAGUGUUGGGAUUACAGGCAUGGGCCAUCACUCCUGGCUGCCAUAAGGAACCUUUAUAUUAGUGAGUAAUAGCAGCCACACAGUAAGUUCAUGUUGAGUGUCUUGUCAAAUGCUGACUAGCACUAUGAAUAUAAAAACUGAUCACUUGAUUGUAUCCAGCAGUCCAUAACUUAUAGAAUAAAAUAAUUUACAGAGGCAUCUAAUUCAGGCCAAGCCUCUUGGCAAACUUAAUUCAUGCUAUGAAUAUUUAUUGAUUUAACAUUAUGACAGUCUCUGUGCUAGAACUCAGGUAGGCUGUCCAAGACAACUUAGAGCUCAUGGCUUAACUAUUCCAAGCACAUGAGUUUACUAACAAUUUCCAUUGCAUCCAGGAAGCCUUCUUUUCUUAUCUGAAUUCCCAUUAAUCUAUACCAUUCACUAGACCCUUGAAUUCCAGGCUGGGUUGGAAAAUCAUCCAGCCCAGUAUAUCACAAAGUGAGGAAUGUGCACUAUUAGUGGUGUGCAAGACAGUUUGGCAGUUUAAACUGGUAAACUUUAAAAAAAAUUUAUAAAUAAUUAAACACUAACCCUCACAGUGUGAUGACAAUUGUGAUGGAGGUGUGCCCAACAUGGAAGCCUGUUUUGCUUACUGCAUAAUGCUGAAGAUGCUAGUGAUGAGUUUUUCACCUGUAUUUAUAAAAAACUUCUCAAAUCCAGAGUCUGUGUGAUGAGUGGUCAUAAGAAUCAACUCUGAUUUCUAAGACUUCCUCCAUGUCUCAAUAUCCUGUUUUUCC